GUAUAUGUUUGGGGAACACCUUGAAGCUUACUCUUAGGGUAACAGAAAUGCAAAAUACCAUCCCCUGAUUAAAAAAAAAAAGUAAAUUUCCUAUCAUGUUAUUAGAGUGUGUAAUUCAGGUUUGGAUAGCUAAAAUCUGUUGCACAAAUUUGUUGUUCAUUGAUCAUGGUGAUUUGUUUAAUGAUACGUAAAAAGAACAUGCCAAAGCCUUGUAAGAGUUAAAAUGAAAACAACCAUUGUUUAAGGAAGAAGAAAAUCAAAACAAUAUGUAGGUGUAGAUGCACUGUACAGGAAUGUGUCUCAUCAUGUUCAGUAAAUUUAAAACACAUCAAAGUCAGGCAGAAACUAAGCUGGUGAGACUUCGAGCCUUUUUAUUUUGUCUGGGUCGUGUGUUUGUGUGUGUGUGUGUAGGUAUGUGUAUAUAAACACAUGCAUAUGUAUUUCUUCCUUUUAAGGAAACAAACAUAGGUAUUAAGAAGUAAUUGGGGACUUCCCUUUGUGGCUCAGAUUCGUUAACUACUGAGCCAUGACGGGAACUCCCUGUUGGUUAGUUUUAAAUCAGCCUUCCUCAGAGUAGAACCUAUAACAGAUUUUCAAUUCUGAUAUACUGAAUCAGAACAUCUGGGAGUGGCAGCCCGAGACUGUAUUUUGAAAGAGUUCCCCAAUUGCUUCACAUGUACUCUAAGGUUUGAGAAUCACUAUUUGUCAAAGAGAGAGCCAUUCAGGUUAGAAGACCUGUGUCUGAAAUUUGCCCAUGUUUGAGGGAGGCACUGGCCAUGGUUAAAUUCUUGCUCAAUGCAAAAAGAUUGUCAUGUACCCAGCUCUUUAAAGACAGCUCUCUAAGGAAAAUAUAUUUACCUUUUAGGUAAGUUGUUCAUACUGCCAGCAUUUGCUCCUCGUAUGUCUCACUAUUUGUCUUAGAUAUUUUUCUAGUCUCAUGAUAUGGCUCCAUUUCUUGGUUGCUAUUUUGUCAAGUCUUUUGUCCACCCACUUACAAGAAAAGGUGUUAUAUGCAGGAUGUCAUAUACUGCUUCCUUCAGGACAGACCCCCUUGUCCUCACUUUUCAAACUUUACUGUUCCUUAUGACCUAGAGGGUGGUAAGUCAUCCACCUGGCUUGAUUCGAGGAGCAGUGACAGGCUCACCUGACUCAACAUUAUUUGAAAAUGUAAUACUUACCAUGGACUACUUACACUGCAUGGAGCAUUUAUCCUAAGAUUCCAAUCAAAGUUCUACAAUCAGUUUUGAUUGGGAAACACUUCAGUUUGAUAUCCAUCUUGGAAAUAAACAGUGCACAUUUAGCAUAGUAAACAUUCUAGGAAAAAGAAAAAAAAAA
rnacentral:lncRNA from 1 species